rnacentral:rRNA from 1 species
GACGAACGCUGGCGGCGUGCCUAAUACAUGCAAGUCGAACGCACUCUCGUUUAGAUUGAAGGAGCUUGCUCCUGAUUGAUAAACAUUUGAGUGAGUGGCGGACGGGUGAGUAACACGUGGGUAACCUGCCCUAAAGUGGGGAUAACAUUUGGAAACAGAUGCUAAUACCGCAUAAAACCUAAACACCGCAUGGUGUAGGGUUGAAAGAUGGUUUCGGCUAUCACUUUAGGAUGGACCCGCGGUGCAUUAGUUAGUUGGUGAGGUAAAGGCUCACCAAGACCGUGAUGCAUAGCCGACCUGAGAGGGUAAUCGGCCACACUGGGACUGAGACACGGCCCAGACUCCUACGGGAGGCAGCAGUAGGGAAUCUUCCACAAUGGACGAAAGUCUGAUGGAGCAACGCCGCGUGAGUGAAGAAGG